UUGAAUUUCCAUUUUUUUUUUAUUGAUGUAGGAGAAUAAAAGUUUCUUUAGCAUUUUUCAUGACAUUACAGGCUUGAUGGAGCUAACUGAAAUUAUUACUAUCGUAUAGGUAUGUGCACAUCAUUUAAAUAAAUUAGGAUAAUGAUCGUAUGAGACACAAUGAUGACAUUUCUAAAGGCCAGUUUUCCUUUGGUAAUACAUGGUCUGUCUGUGGAUAAAUAAUGCCCAAAUCAGAUAGUCAUAUUUUUUUACAAGGGACAAAACAAAAAUCAAGUAUGUGAGACCAUUUCAGCACAAAAGGCCAACAACCCACACGUUGGGUGCAAAUAAACAUGUUGAAAUGGACAGUAAAUCGUUAAGAAAGGCACCAUGUUAUGUACUGCAUGUUUUGUAUACUUCACAUAUUCUGGUAAAGCCUUCAACAAGGAUUUAAUCGACCAUAAAUGUUUCUGCUAAUGUUUCUGUUUCCAAUGGUAUGUGUACUGGAGCUUUGGAUUUAGCGUACAAUUUCAUACUGUUUUUCAUGUUUAGAAUGGGUAUCUCUCCUUUGAAACAACCCCCUUGGUGAAACAUCCAAUAAUCCCUACAGGAUCCUGUUCAGUAGGCACAAAAUGUUUUGAAAUCAAUGAGGUAGCCUACUACCUGAGGUUGAGCGUGUCCAAUGAGUCAUCUUUGCAUUCCAUUUCAAAAUGUUUUGCUACAUUGUGCCCUAUUGAACAUGACCCUGUUGUACCUGAAUCUGUAACACUUAAAAGGUUAGUCCACCCAAAUUACAAAAUGUUUUUUUUAUUUUGGUACCCUGUAAAGACUGCUUGAAGGGUAAGAAAAACAAUGUAAUUUUGUGAUUUGAGUGACUUAUCCCUUUAAGUCAAAAGGGCUAAUUGUUGUUAGCAUUAGCCAUGAAGUCACUCACACUGCUUGCCAAGGUGUGCAAAAUAUCACUUACAGAUUAUUAACAUAACAUUAUAUACAUUCUACAGCAUGUCAACUUCAGUUUAAG
rnacentral:lncRNA from 1 species